UGGCGCUUAAGGAGGAGCUCGCGGCCUAUCAGCUAGUUGGUGAGGUAAUGGCUCACCAAGACAAUGAUCAAUAGCUGAUCUGAGAGGAUGAUCAGCCACACUGGGACUGAGACACGGCCCAGACUCCUACGGGAGGCAGCAGUGGGGAAUCUUGCACAAUGGAGGAAACUCUGAUGCAGCGAUGCCGCGUGAGUGAAGAAGGCCUUUGGGUUGUAAAGCUCUUUUGUAGGGGAAGAUAAUGACUGUACCCUAAGAAUAAGGUCCGGCUAACUUCGUGCCAGCAGCCGCGGUAAUACGAAGGGACCUAGCGUAGUUCGGAAUUACUGGGCGUAAAGCGCGCGUAGGCCGUUGAGUUAGUUAAUUGUGAAAUCCCAAAGCUUAACUUUGGAACUGCAAUUAAAACUGCUCGACUAGAGUUUGAUAGAGGAAAGCGGAAUACAUAGUGUAGAGGUGAAAUUCGUAGAUAUUAUGUAGAACACCAGUUGCGAAGGCGGCUUUCUGGAUCAACACUGACGCUGAGGCGCGAAAGUAUGGGUAGCAAAGAGGAUUAGAUACCCUCGUAGUCCAUACCAUAAACGAUGAUUGCUAGAUGUUGGAAAUUUAUUUUCAGUAUCGCAGCUAACGCAUUAAGCAAUCCGCCUGGGGAGUACGACCGCAAGGUUAAAACUCAAAUGAAUUG
rnacentral:rRNA from 1 species